CCCGCAGCACCCAGGAGGGCGCGUCUGACUCCUCUCCCAGGUCGUUUGGGCUGGAGUAGGCGGAGGAACGCACCGCGAGCACCAACGUCCCGCCCCUGUUUUGCGGUCCUCAGAAUGAAAUCCAGAUUCACUAAAGAGUUCCUCGGUCCUGUAGGACCUGGCUCUUUUUUCUCAUUGAUCAUACUGCCUGCUCCUAUUCUGAGGGUAAGUGACAUUUAGACUGAGACUCCAAGGAAUGUCCCCAUUUCCCAGGAGGAUCUUCUGUUUUCCUGUAACGUUUUGAAGAGUCUCAGUAGAAGAUGCAUAUUUUUGACAAAAAGAUCAUCAGAGUACAGCUCAGCACAUUCUCACAGGUGGAAUCACCCUGGUCCAGACAUCGUCAGCGUCCUGGAAGCUGCCAUGCCACCUAUCACCACCACCACCAAGGGAGCCACUACACGGACUUCUAAAGACAGAUUAUGUUUGUCUGUUUUUGUGCUUUAUAUAAAAAUGUAUGCUUUG